rnacentral:rRNA from 1 species
GAGUUUGAUUAUGGCUCAGCGCGAACGUUGGCGGCGUGCCUAACACAUGCAAGUCGUGGGGCAGCAGGCUACCGUCUUUUGGCAGUAGUGCUGGCGACCGGCAAACGGGUGAGUACACGUAGCUUACCUACCCAUAGGUUGGGGAUAACAUCCCGAAAGGGGUGCUAAUACCCAAUAAUGAGGAGACUCCAAAGCCCUUAUGGGUGCCUAUGGAUGGGGCUGCGUCCCAUUAGCUUGUUGGUGAGGUAAUGGCUCACCAAGGCUACGACGGGUAACCGGUCUGAGAGGAUGACCGGUCACAGUGGGACUGAGACACGGCCCGCACCCCUACGGGGGGCAGCAGUGGGGAAUAUUGGGCAAUGGCUGAAAGGCUGACCCAGCAACGCCGCGUGGUGGAUGAAGCCCUUCGGGGUGUAAACACCUUUUCUGGGGGAAGAUAAUGACGGUACCCCAGGAAUAAGGGACGGCUAACUACGUGCCAGCAGCCGCGGUAAUACGUAGGUCCCAAACGUUGCGCGAAUUUACUGGGCGUAAAGG